UCUCUUUUUUUUUAUUUCCAGCAAAAACUGAGUGAGCUCAGACACCCAGGUACAAGUGAGCUCCCAGCCCCAUGCGAUACCCUCAGUGGCCUCCCUGCCCUGCCUCUGCACCCAGGACCGCAGACCCCAGCCCAUGUGCCUAGCAGGGAAUGGCCAUUUCUCAGACACAUGCUUCGACUGGACCCUACCAGGACAGUCUGAGGAUUUGCGAGCUUCAGGCCAUGUCGUGGGCAGAAGACUGUUACGAGAUUCUGAAUAUAUAUGUGUGGAAUGAGACUUGAAGUACUGCAUUUCCUACAAGCUCCCAGGUGUAUAGUGGAGUUUUCCAUAGACUGCAAGAUGAAUGAUGUAACAACAGAUUAAAUGCAGAAACAAAUAAGAGACUCUAGCUGUCUUCUGUGAAGCCAUGAAAAGCACUCUGUGAAAGUGUGUCAUUCUUCUCACUAAGAAUUUUUGAUUUUUUUCACCAGCAAUUACUCAUCAAACAUGUCCUCGAUUCUCUGGACUGGCGAUUUCUUCUACGUGGGAGCAACCCCUCUUCAUUUGAGCAACAGGGAUGGAGAGAACCCACCACAUUCUUGGAGAAGGCUGUGGCAUCUUACAGACGCUCCCCCAGGCUUAGCUGGCUCUAGCUCAGGGGCGGGAGGCAACCUGCUUUGGCUCCCUUGGAAUAAGGGAGAUAAGCCAAGAAUGAGGUGGCAUUUCCCUUUAUGCUGAUCAUCCCUGAUUCUUAGGCCUUUUCCCCAAGACCAGCUCUAGGACAGAGGAGCCUGUGACUGGGACAGCAUUACAGAGACCCAAUCAGGGCAUAUAAAUCAGGGUCUGGAAUUAAAGAAAAGUGGGAUUUUUAUAAAAUGGAUCAUUAUUGUAUGACUUUGGUGAUAUAAAUCAGUCAGGUGUAGCUAAAGUGUGAAGUGAAUGCCCUUAAAUCAAAACAUUUUCCUUAGGAAUUCCUAGGCACGACUUGUGAAGCUGCUAUAGGAUCCGUAAGCUCCGGUUGGAGUUAUGUAAAUCCAUUUCCUCCCCUAUAAAGCAGCUGAAUGUUUUAACUAAAUCUAAUUCUUAAAAUAAUGAUUUCUGAAUCAAAACUUUGCUGGGAAGAUUUACAGGCAAGUUUUAUAAAUCAGAGGCAAGAUAUAUAACUCAGAUAGUGAGAAGUGCAGAUUUAUAAAUCCAACUUGUAAAUCAGGAGAAAAAACAUCAUGUUUUACACUAAAUAAUAUUUUUACAAAUGGCACCUCAUACAUCAUGCAAUUGCCACAAAUCUUUCACAGUGGAGUCAGGCUACAUAAUGCGAGGCUGAAUCACAAAGGAAAUGGAGGCCUGGGUGGUGAAGUCGGGAUCGGGGCAUGUGGGUUUGGAAAAACGCUCCUGUAAGCACCUAAUCAAUGUAGAUCAGCCAGGGCCUUUGGCAUCAGACUCAGAUAUGUUUGUAAUUCCCCUCAGCCUCCUGAGAGCUGGAAGUGUGGGAGAAUCACAUCACUAUCCCGCCAUCCGAGUCUGUUUUCUUUCUCUAUGAAGCCCAUGCAAUAAUCUCUUUCUCAAUGGACUGUUGUGAGCUUUAAAUGAGAUACUAUGUGUAUCGCACUUAGCUCGGGGUCUGGAAAAUACCAAGUGCUUAAUAUAUGUCAGUUUUCUAUUAAUAUAUUAUCAUAUGCAUUGUUAUUGUGAUCAUCCUCGUUAUUAUUAUUUUUAGUCCAUGUCGCUUUUCCACCCCAUGAGUCUUAAAAGGAGUAGUGAUGGGAAGCAGGGGUCGUGAUGGGGCUGCUGACUGCAGGACUGUGUCCCUGAGAGGUGGGUUGUCCUCUCCUAACUCUGCUGCAUUCAGGUCUGACCACUUUCCCCAGCAAUUCCCCAAUUUUUGGCUGUAAGAAUUUCCCCAUAAAAGCUUCCUGAAGACCAUUUUUUGAUACCUGACUUCUUUGCAGAAUUUAAAUAAAAGUUAAUGUUUUUAAGAA